GCUAGGUCCGGUGUAGCGGGCGCGAGAAGACGGGGGGGGAGAGGGUGAUUCGGAGUGACGGGGGUUAAAGCGCACGUAGGCGGCUUUGGAAGUGAGAGGUGAAAGCCCGGGGGUCAAAUCCGGAAGUGCAUGUAAUACGGCAUCGCUAGAAGUGUGGAGAGGUAAGUGGAAUUCCGAGUGUAGAGGUGAAAUUCGUAGAUAUUCGGAAGAACACCAGUGGCGAAGGCGACUUACUGGACACAUAUUGACGCUGAGGUGCGAAAGCGUGGGGAGCAAACAGGAUUAGAUACCCUAGUAGUC
rnacentral:rRNA from 1 species